UACAGAGGUCCCAAGCGUUGUUCGGAUUCAUUGGGCGUAAAGGGUGCGUAGGUGGCGUCGUAAGUCGGGUGUGAAAUCUCGGGGCUUAACUCCGAAACUGCAUUCGAUACUGCGGUGCUUGAGGACUGGAGAGGAGACUGGAAUUUACGGUAUAGCAGUGAAAUGCGUAGAGAUCGUAAGGAAGACCAGUGGCGAAGGCGGGUCUCUGGACAGUUCCUGACACUGAGGCACGAAGGCCAGGGGAGCAAACGGG
rnacentral:rRNA from 1 species